CUCACGGCAGCUCUACUAUAGUAACCCCACACUGAAACACCCACUUACACAGAAUGUGACUAAUGGGAUGGAGUAUCCCUCAAUAAUUAAAUGGUUCCCAAGUUCAAAGGGUAGGGACCAGAUGGAGGUCUCCAGUUUGGGCUCUCUCUCUUUCUGCCUGAUGUUUGGCUGUGGGUCUCUGCAUCCGCUCCUUGGGGGCUUCCAACACCAGAAAGAAAAGGAGACUGUGGAAUGUUGGCGGGUUUAUAAAAGGUGAUUUUAUAAUUAGUAAUGAGAUGGGAUCCCUUCCAAUCUUGUUCUGUUUCUGAGUUCUUUUGGUUUUCUGUCUCCUUUGUAUUUUCAUGUGGCUUUAGAAUCAGCCUGUGAAUUUCUACAAAACUUUUUGGAAUUUUGAUAGAGUUGAA
rnacentral:lncRNA from 1 species